rnacentral:rRNA from 1 species
UACGUAGGGUACGAGCGUUGUCCGGAAUUAUUGGGCGUAAAGAGCUCGUAGGUGGUUGGUCACGUCUGCUGUGGAAACGCAACGCUUAACGUUGCGCGGGCAGUGGGUACGGGCUGACUAGAGUGCAGUAGGGGAGUCUGGAAUUCCUGGUGUAGCGGUGAAAUGCGCAGAUAUCAGGAGGAACACCGGUGGCGAAGGCGGGACUCUGGGCUGUAACUGACACUGAGGAGCGAAAGCAUGGGGAGCGAACAGGAUUAGAUACCCU